rnacentral:tRNA from 1 species
GGUCCCGUAGCUCAAUUGGCAGAGCAGCUGACUCUUAAUCAGUAGGUUAUAGGUUCGACUCCUAUCGGGAUCA